rnacentral:rRNA from 1 species
CCUACGGGAGGCAGCAGUGAGGAAUAUUGGUCAAUGGCCGGAAGGCUGAACCAGCCAUGCCGCGUGAAGGUCAGUGCCCUAUGGGCGUUAAACUUCUUUUGUGCGGGAGCAAUAAUGGUCACGUGUGGCCAGACGAGAGUACCGUACGAAUAAGCAUCGGCUAACUCCGUGCCAGCAGCCGCGGUAAUACGGGGGAUGCAAGCGUUAUCCGGAUUUAUUGGGUUUAAAGGGUGCGUAGGCUGUGAGGUAAGUCAGCGGUGAAAUGCCCCCGCUCAACGGGGUGAAGUGCCAUUGAUACUGCCUGGCUGGAAUGCUGAUGCCGUGGGAGGAAGGUGUGGUGUAGCGGUGAAAUGCAUAGAUAUCACACAGAACACCGAUUGCGAAGGCAUCUCACGAAUCCGCGAUUGACGCUGAUGCACGAAAGCGUGGGUAUCAAACAGGAUUAGAUACCCGUGUAGUC